rnacentral:tRNA from 1 species
GGGGUUGUGGCUCAGUGGUAGAGCACUCACAUAGCACGUGUGGAGUGCUGGGUUCAAUCCUCAGCACCACA